rnacentral:miRNA from 1 species
GGGCACGUGAGGGAGCACUCUCCCCUGAGUGCUUCCUCUUCAGCUCUCUCGCGCACCACACUGAAACCGAAGCCUGAAGAUGACGUAAUCUUCUGGCUCCGGUAUCAGUACGCAGCGCGAGAGGGAGCUGAAGAGGGAGCACUCAGGGGAGAGUGCUCCCUCGUGCGC